GACGAACCGAGCGAACGUUGUUCGGAAUCACUGGGCUUAAAGGGCGCGUAGGCGGGCCGCAAAGUCCGUGGUGAAAUCCUCCAGCUCAACUGGAGAAGUGCCUCGGAUACUGGCGGCCUCGAGGGGGGGGGUAGGGGCGUGCGGAACUUCCGGUGGAGCGGUGAAAUGCGUAGAUAUCGGAAGGAACACCGGUGGCGAAAGCGGCCGCGCUGG
rnacentral:rRNA from 1 species